UCCCCGUUAUCCGGGGCAGUUUCGCCAGAGUGCCCAACUUAAUGAUGGCAACUGGCAAUAAGGGUUGCGCUCGUUGCGGGACUUAACCCAACAUCUCACGACACGAGCUGACGGCAGCCAUGCAGCACCUGUGUUCCGAUUCCCUUUCGGGCACACCCGCCUCUCAGCGGGCUUCCGGACAUGUCAAGGGUAGGUAAGGUUGUUCGCGUUGCAUCGAAUUAAUCCACAUCAUCCACCGCUUGUGCGGGUCCCCGUCAAUUCCUUUGAGUUUUAACCUUGCGGCCGUACUCCCCAGGCGGGCAACUUCACGCGUUAGCUACGGUACUGAGAAAUCGCUUCCCCAACACCUAGUGAGCAUCGUUUAGGGCGUGGACUAC
rnacentral:misc_RNA from 1 species